rnacentral:tRNA from 1 species
GAUGUCAAGACGGCAGCUACACGCACCCAAAGACA